rnacentral:rRNA from 1 species
UAGUACGUCACGUAGUUUGCUCCGUGCUCAGAACACGCUGGCGGCAUGCCUAACACAUGCAAGUCGAACGAGACCUUCGGGUCUAGUGGCGCACGGGUGCGUAACGCGUGGGAACCUGCCUUUAGGUUCGGAAUAACUCAGAGAAAUUUGAGCUAAUACCGGAUGAUGUCUUCGGACCAAAGAUUUAUCGCCUUUAGAUGGGCCCGCGUAAGAUUAGCUAGUUGGUGGGGUAAAGGCCUACCAAGGCGACGAUCUUUAGCUGGUCUGAGAGGAUGAUUCAGCCACACUGGGACUGAGACACGGCCCAGACUCCUACGGGAGGCAGCAGUGGGGAAUAUUGGACAAUGGGCGAAAGCCUGAUCCAGCAAUGCCGCGUGAGUGAUGAAGGCCUUAGGGUUGUAAAGCUCUUUUACCCGAGAUGAUAAUGACAGUAUCGGGAGAAUAAGCUCCGGCUAACUCCGUG